rnacentral:rRNA from 1 species
UACGGAGGGGGCUAGCGUUGUUCGGAAUUACUGGGCGUAAAGCGCUCGUAGGCGGACCUGCAAGUCGGGGGUGAAAGCCCGAGGCUCAACCUCGGAACUGCCUUCGAUACUGCGGGUCUCGAGUCCGGGAGAGGUGAGUGGAAUUCCUAGUGUAGAGGUGAAAUGCGUAGAUAUUAGGAAGAACACCAGUGGCGAAGGCGGCUCACUGGCCCGGUACUGACGCUGAGGCGCGAAAGCGUGGGGAGCAAACAGG